AACAGAAACUGACAACUGUAGAGCAGCCGUCUGUGCUACUGAAGCCCUGCCUACUGAGGAAGACUCUGUGAUUUAUUCAGGGUUGGCCCUGACAACCAGAACUUGAAGAAAAUGUAUGAAUUUCCAUUUUAUUGCAAAUGUUAUUUGUUCAAGUAAUUACAUGUUGUUUUUUAAGAACCUGUUAAGCCCUAGCCAUAUUUUCAGAAAAAACGCCUAAAAAGACAUACCCAAAGUAAAUGAAGAAUUUCUCCACAGUAGUAAGUUUCAUAUGCAUGUUCUUGGUGUCUAUGGACAUCUAGGGACCUCAGAGAUGUAUUCCCAAUGUGUGAAAAGAUUGUGACUGUUACUAUGCCUGAGUAAAUUGGAAUAAACCAAAGGAGAAAUGUGAAA